AUGGUGAAACCCCGUCUCGACUAAAAAUACAAAAAUUAGCUGGGCAUGGUGGCACAUGCCUGUAAUCCCAGUGACUCGGGAGACUAUGGCAGGAGAAUAGGCUUGAACCCGGGAGGUAGAGGUUGCAGUGAGCCGAGAUUGUGUCAUUGCACUCCAGCCUGGGUGACAAGAGCAAGACUCCAUGUCAAAAAAAGAAAAAGAA